ACUCAAAUGAAUUGACGGGGGCUCACACAAGCGGUGGAGGAUGUGGCUUAAUUCGAGGCUACGCGAAGAACCUUAUCCUGGUCUUGACAUGCUUAGGAACCCGAUCGAAACGUUGGGGUGCCCGCAAGGGAGCCUUUGCACAGGUGCUGCAUGGCUGUCGUCAGCUCGUGUCGUGAGAUGUCGCGUUAAGUCGCUUAACGAGCGAAACCCUUGUCCUUAGUUGCCAGCGGGUCAUGCCGGGGACUCUAAGGAGACUGCCGGUGUUAAACCGGAGGAAGGUGGGGAUGACGUCAAGUCCUCAUGGCCUUUAUGACCAGGGCUGCACACGUCCUACAAUGGCGUGCACAAAGGGAUGCAAACCCGUGAGGGCCAGCAAAUCCCAAAAAACACGCCUCAGUUCGGAUUGUAGGCUGCAACCCGCCUACAUGAAGCCGGAAUCGCUAGUAAUCGCGGGUCAGAAUACCGCGGUGAAUGUGUUCCUGAGCCUUGCACACACCGCCCGU
rnacentral:rRNA from 1 species